UUUUUUUUUAGAACAUAUACUUAGUAAUUUAAUUUUAGUCACCAAAAUGAGUGUUUUACCUUCACAAGCAAAUCCACACUGCUAAGACAAAUAAAGCAGUACAUAAAAA